UGGGAUGACGUCAAUCAUCAUGCCCUUAUGUCCAGGGCGACACACGUGCUACAAUGGCCGGCACAGCGGGAAGCGAGGGGGCGACCUUGAGCGGAUCCCUCAAAGCCGGUCUCAGUUCGGAUUGCAGUCUGCAACUCGACUGCAUGAAGUUGGAAUCGCUAGUAAUCGUGGAUCAGCCAAGCCGCGGUGAAUACGUUCCCGGGCCUU
rnacentral:rRNA from 1 species